rnacentral:rRNA from 1 species
AAGAGACAGCAGUAGCCGCGGUAAUACAGAGGGUGCGAGCGUUAAUCGGAUUUACUGGGCGUAAAGCGUGCGUAGGCGGCUUCUUAAGUCGGAUGUGAAAUCCCUGAGCUUAACUUAGGAAUUGCAUUCGAUACUGGGAAGCUAGAGUAUGGGAGAGGAUGGUAGAAUUCCAGGUGUAGCGGUGAAAUGCGUAGAGAUCUGGAGGAAUACCGAUGGCGAAGGCAGCCAUCUGGCCUAAUACUGACGCUGAGGUACGAAAGCAUGGGGAGCAAACAGGAUUAGAGACCCCCGUAGUCCCUGUCUCUUAUAC